UGAGCGGGGACAACAUUUGGAAACGAAUGCUAAUACCGCAUAACAACUUUAAACACAAGUUUUAAGUUUGAAAGAUGCAGUUGCAUCACUCAAAGAUGAUCCCGCGUUGUAUUAGCUAGUUGGUGAGGUAAAGGCUCACCAAGGCGAUGAUACAUAGCCGACCUGAGAGGGUGAUCGGCCACAUUGGGACUGAGACACGGCCCAAACUCCUACGGGAGGCAGCAGUAGGGAAUCUUCGGCAAUGGACGAAAGUCUGACCGAGCAACGCCGCGUGAGUGAAGAAGGUUUUCGGAUCGUAAAACUCUGUUGGUAGAGAAGAACGUUGGUGAGAGUGGAAAGCUCAUCAAGUGACGGUAACUACCCAGAAAGGGACGGCUAACUACGUGCCAGCAGCCGCGGUAAUACGUAGGUCCCGAGCGUUGUCCGGAUUUAUUGGGCGUAAAGCGAGCGCAGGUGGUUUAUUAAGUCUGGUGUAAAAGGCAGUGGCUCAACCAUUGUAUGCAUUGGAAACUGGUAGACUUGAGUGCAGGAGAGGAGAGUGGAAUUCCAUGUGUAGCGGUGAAAUGCGUAGAUAUAUGGAGGAACACCGGUGGCGAAAGCGGCUCUCUGGCCUGUAACUGACACUGAGGCUCGAAAGCGUGGGGAGCAAACAGGAUUAGAUACCCUGGUAGUCCACGCCGUAAACGAUGAGUGCUAGAUGUAGGGAGCUAUAAGUUCUCUGUAUCGCAGCU
rnacentral:rRNA from 1 species